UUAGUACUCCCUCCGUUCCAUAAUUCUUGUCUCAAAUUUGCCCAAAAAUGGAUGUAUCUGUUCUUAAAAAGCAUCUAGAUAGAUGUAAUAUUUCGACAAGAAUUAUGGAAUGGAGGGAGUAAUAC
rnacentral:pre_miRNA from 1 species